rnacentral:rRNA from 1 species
GACGAACGCUGGCGGCGUGCCUAACACAUGCAAGUCGAACGGAAAGGCCCGGCUUUCAGUGUACUCGAGUGGCGAACGGGUGAGUAACACGCGGGUGAACUGCCCUGCACUUCGGGAGAAGCCUCUUAAACUGGGUCUAAUACCGGACAGGAGACAUGUUGAGUGGGAUGGUUGAAUAGUUUUUUCGGGGUUGGAUGAGCCCGGGGGCUAUCAGCUUGUUGGGGGGGUGAUGGCGUACCAAGGCGGCGGGGGGUAGCCGGCCUGUGGGGGUGGACGGCGACCUUGGGCCUUAGGUACGGCACAGGAUGGUACUGGAGGCAGCAGGGGGGAAUCUUGCAGAAGGGGCGCCAGCCUGAUGAAGAGGGGCUGCGUGUGGGAUGACGGCCUUCUGGUUGAAAACUACUUUCGCAAGGGACUAUGCUCUUUGUGACGGUACCUAGACAAAAAGCCACGGCUAACUACGUG